rnacentral:lncRNA from 1 species
CUCAUAACAGCAUUGCAGAGUAGAAAAAAACAGUAAACAGAGAAGUAGAAGGAGAUUUCAGAUAUGAUGACCUUUCAAAAAACUGUAAUGCAUAGAACAUCAGAGACUUUUCCUUUCAAUAUUUGGUUUCAGCAAUGUUGAGCCUUCCAAAGAUUUGUACAUAUUGUUACCAAUAACUGUUUAAUUCUUUUUACUGACUGAUAACAACACAUGGCCAUCCUGUUCUCCAGAGAACUUCCUCAAGCAAGCGGGAACCACCUUGGGUGUUCAAGGUUCUCAAGUGCAUCAACCCAGCAGAGAGUGAGAAAGUGAGUGUAUCUGGAGAGCGUUGCAUUAAGAGAGAUGGAACAUAAAACUGAAUAAGGGCUGAAGUGCAGUGGCAUGAUCUCUACUCACUGCAACCUCCGCCUCCCGGGUUCAAGCGAUUCUCCUGCCUCAGACUCCCGAGUAGCUGGAACUACAGGUGCCUGCCACCACGCCCGGCAAAUUUUUGUAUUUUUAGUACAGACAGGGUUUCAACAUGUUGGCCAGGAUGGUCUCUAUCUCCUGACCUCACGAUCCGCCCAUCUCGGCCUCCCAAAGUACUGGGAUUACAGGCAUGAGCCACUAUGCCGGGCCUAUUAUUGCUAUUUUAAAAUUCAUUCAAAUAAUAAAUAAAAGGUUAAAGUAAAAAGUGCCUCACUUUUAACUUAUAACACAGUAAAUAAUAUAGGUAGCUACAACCAACAUUGGUGAAUGAGGACCCACUUUGGGGUCCUCAAUAAUCUUUAAGAGUGUAAAGAUUUCUUAAGACCAAAAAGCUUGAGAACCACCUAUCUAGAGGAUAUUUAUCAGGGUCCUAUUCCUACCACAGACAAGCUGAAACAAAGAGAAUCUUGAGCAAGG